rnacentral:rRNA from 1 species
GGAGCUUGCUCCCGCCGGCGAGUGGCAAACGGGUGAGUAAUACAUCGGAACGUGCCCAGUAGUGGGGGAUAGCCCGGCGAAAGCCGGAUUAAUACCGCAUACGACCUACGGGUGAAAGCGGGGGACCGAAAGGCCUCGCGCUAUUGGAGCGGCCGAUGGCUGAUUAGCUAGUUGGUGGGGUAAAGGCCUACCAAGGCUACGAUCAGUCGCUGGUCUGAGAGGACGACCAGCCACACUGGGACUGAGACACGGCCCAGACUCCUACGGGAGGCAGCAGUGGGGAAUUUUGGACAAUGGGCGAAAGCCUGAUCCAGCAAUGCCGCGUGUGCGAAGAAGGCCUUCGGGUUGUAAAGCACUUUUGUCAGGAAAGAAAUUGUUUGGGCUAAUACCCCGAGCCGUUGACGGUACCUGAAGAAUAAGCACCGGCUAACUACGUGCCAGCAGCCGCGGUAAUACGUAGGGUGCGAGCGUUAAUCGGAAUUACUGGGCGUAAAGCGUGCGCAGGCGGUUUGUUAAGACAGUUGUGAAAUCCCCGGGCUUAACCUGGGAACUGCAAUUGUGACUGGCAGGCUAGAGUUUGGC